rnacentral:rRNA from 1 species
GACGAAGGAUGCAAGCGUUAUCCGGAUUCAUUGGGUUUAAAGGGAGCGUAGGUGGUCUUAUAAGUCAGUGGUGAAAUCUCGCAGCUUAACUGCGAAACUGCCAUUGAUACUGUAGGACUUGAGUAUAGUUGCUGUGGGCGGAAUAUGACAUGUAGUGGUGAAAUACUUAGAGAUGUCAUAGAACACCGAUUGCGAAGGCAGCUCACAAAACUAUAACUGACACUGAGGCUCGAAAGUGCGGGGAGCAAACAGG